rnacentral:rRNA from 1 species
GUCUUUAAGAAAUUAAUUUAAAGUCCAAUCUGCCCAAUGAUUUUAUUAAAUGGCUGCAGAAUUUUAACUGUACAAAGGUAGCAUAAUAAUUUGUUUUUUAAUUAAAAACUAGAAUGAAAGAUUUAAUGAAAUAUAAACUGUUUCAAUUAAUUUUAUUAUUAAAAUUUUUAUUUAAGUAAAAAAACUUAAAUAAACUUUAAAGACAACAAGACCCUAUAGAAUUUUAUUUAUUUUAUUUUAAAAUAAAGUAAAAUAAAUUUUAUUGGGAAAAUUAAAAAAUUAAAUUAAUUUUUUAUUAAAAAUACAUAAAUAAAUGAAUUAAUUUUAUCUUAAUUUUUAAAUUAAAAAAAUUAAUUACCUUAGGGAUAACAGCAUAAUUUUUUUUAAAAGACCAUAUUUAUAAAAAAGAUUAU